UUCCAGCUCCAAUAGCGUAUAUUAAAGUUGUUGCAGUUAAAAAGCUCGUAGUUGGAUUUCUGGCGUCGCCGCCCGGUUGGCCUCGAAAGGGGUAUGUACUGGGGCGCGCGUUGCCAUCCUCGGGGGAAGGUCGUCUGGUAUUAAGUUGUCGGACGGUCGACGCUCGUCGUUUACUGUGAACAAAUUAGAGUGUUCAAAGCAGGCUUAGGCCGUUGAAUACAUUAGCAUGGAAUAAUGAGAUAGGACUUUGGUGGUCUAUUUUGUUGGUUUGCACGCCGAAGUAAUGAUUAAUAGGGGCGGUUGGGGGUAUUCGUAUUCAAUUGUCAGAGGUGAAAUUCUUGGAUUUAUGGAAGACGAACUACUGCGAAAGCAUUUACCAAGGAUGUUUUCAUUA
rnacentral:rRNA from 1 species